GCUGCAUUCGCUAGCACUUCCAUGAUGGAGGCUAUUUGAGUGUGAAAAACCAUACAGUUAGCCAUUGUUAGCAGCUAACUCGCGUUACCUAGAAAACGUCUAUCAACCAAGUCCUGCCUCCAACACGAAUUAAAGACUACAUGGGGGGGUGCGCCCCACAGUUUGGGAACCACUGCGGUAGACAAGCUGCCAGGAGCGGUGGCAAGAGCCAGGUCUGAGGGAGACUGGAGGUGCAACCACGGGGGAUGUCAACCCAUGACAACCGACGAUGAGUGUUUGUGCUGCGCAGAGUGGGACUUGUUACUGCCAUCGAUUGGGUGGCUUGAUAUCUACGGCGAAGAAAGCAGCGCACCCAGAGACUGUGUAACAAACCCCGAGGACUUUUCUGCGCUCAUCAAUCCUGAAGUUAUAGAGACAUUCUUCCAUGUCCCAAAAAUAAACUGGCUGAAUCAGCCCAUACCGGCUGGACUGAAUGGACAGCUGUCUAUCGAGUCAAUACAGGCUGGUUGCAUAUCUACUAGUGUUGGAGUGGGCACUGAAGGGAGAGACUGGGGCGAAGGAAC